GAUGAACGCUAGCGACAGGCUUAACACAUGCAAGUCGAGGGGUAACAGGGAAGCUUGCUUCCGCUGACGACCGGCGCACGGGUGCGUAACGCGUAUACAAUCUACCUAUUACAGAGGGAUAGCCCAGAGAAAUUUGGAUUAACACCUCAUAGUAUUAUAGAGUGGCAUCACUUUAUAAUUAAAACUCCGGUGGUAAUAGAUGAGUAUGCGUCUUAUUAGUUAGUUGGUGAGGUAACGGCUCACCAAGACCACGAUAAGUAGGGGUCCUGAGAGGGAGAUCCCCCACACUGGUACUGAGACACGGACCAGACUCCUACGGGAGGCAGCAGUGAGGAAUAUUGGGCAAUGGAGGCAACUCUGACCCAGCCAUGUCGCGUGCAGGACGACGGCCCUAUGGGUUGUAAACUGCUUUUAUAGAGGAAGAAACCCCAUUACGUGUAAUGGGCUGACGGUACUCUACGAAUAAAGACCGGCUAACUCCGUGCCAGCAGCCGCGGUAAUACGGAGGGUCUAAGCGUUAUCCGGAAUCAUUGGGUUUAAAGGGUCCGUAGGCGGGCUAAUAAGUCAGAAGUGAAAUCCCACAGCUCAACUGUGGAACUGCUUUUGAUACUGUUAGUCUUGAGUUAUAGUGAGGUAGAUAGAAUGUGUAGUGUAGCGGUGAAAUGCAUAGAUAUUACACAGAAUACCGAUUGCGAAGGCAGUCUACCAACUAUAUACUGACGCUGAUGGACGAAAGCGUGGGGAGCGAACAGGAUUAGAUACCCUGGUAGUCCACGCCGUAAACGAUGGAUACUAGCUGUUGGAAAGCAAUUUUCAGUGGCCAAGCAAAAGUGAUAAGUAUCCCACCUGGGGAGUACGUUCGCAAGAAUGAAACUCAAAGGAAUUGACGG
rnacentral:rRNA from 1 species